rnacentral:rRNA from 1 species
UAGUCAUAUGCUUGUCUCAAAGAUUAAGCCAUGCAUGUCUAAGUAUAAAUAAAUUUAUAUUGUGAAACUGCGAAUGGCUCAUUAAAUCAGUUAUGAUCUACGUGACAUAUUCUUUACUACUUGGAUAACCGUGGUAAUUCUAGAGCUAAUACAUGCAAAAAAACCCAAACUUACGAAUGGGUGCACUUAUUAGAUAAAGCCAACGCUGGGUAAAACCAGUUUCCCUUGGUGAUUCAUAAUAAUUAAGCGGAUCGCAUGGCCUUGUGCUAGCGACAGU